rnacentral:rRNA from 1 species
UACGUAGGGCGCAAGCGUUGUCCGGAAUUAUUGGGCGUAAAGAGCUCGUAGGCGGUCUGUCGCGUCGGUCGUGAAAACUUGGGGCUUAACCCUGAGCUUGCGGUCGAUACGGGCAUGACUGGAGUUCGGCAGGGGAGACUGGAAUUCCUGGUGUAGCGGUGAAAUGCGCAGAUAUCAGGAGGAACACCGGUGGCGAAGGCGGGUCUCUGGGCCGAUACUGACGCUGAGGAGCGAAAGCGUGGGGAGCGAACAGG